rnacentral:rRNA from 1 species
AAACUACUGUCUACAGUAGCGCUGGCGGCGUGCUUAACACAUGCAAGUCGAGCGAGAAAACUCCUUCGGGAGUGAGUACAGCGGCAGACGGGUGAGUAACGCGUGAGAAUCUACCUUUUAGUGAGGAAUACCCCAGAGAAAUCUGGGUUAAUACUGCAUACGUCCUUCGGGAGAAAGCUGGCCUCUUUGCUGGCGCUAAAAGAUGAGCUUACGUACUAUUAGCUAGUUGGUAGGGUAAAGGCCUACCAAGGCGAUGAUGGUUAGCCGACCUGAGAGGGUGUACGGCCACACUGGAACUUAGACACGGUCCAGACUCCUACGGGAGGCAGCAGUGGGGAAUCUUGCGCAAUGGGCGAAAGCCUGACGCGGCGACGCCGCGUGGAGGAUGAAGGUCUCCGGAUUGUAAACUGCUUUUGUACGGAGCGAAAAGGCUUCCACUAAUACUGGAGGCUCACGACGGUACCGUAAGAAUAAGCACCGGCUAACUACGUGCCAGCAGCCGCGGUAAUACGUAGGGUGCAAGCGUUAAUCGGAAUUACUGGGCGUAAAGCGUGCGCAGGCGGUCUUGUAAGACAGGUGUGAAUCCCCGGGCUUAACCUGGGAACUGCACUUGUGAUUGUCAGGCUGGAGUACUGCAGAGGGGAUCGUAUUCCGCGUUGUAGUAUUGAUAUGCCGCAAAAUGCCGAGGACCCCGAUGGCAAAGGCAAAUCACCUUUGGUUCUGUACUUUGUUCUUCUGCACGACAACCGGCGGGAGCAACAGGAUUUAUAUUCUCUGGGAAGUCCACGCCCUAAUGUUGUCAUGU